CUCUUCUCUGCUGCCGUCUGAGGUGCGCGUUUCACCUUCCGCCGUGAUUGUGAGGCCUCCCCAGCCACGUGGAACUGUGAGUCCAUUAAACCUCUUUCUUUUGUAAAUUGCCCCGUCUGAGGUAUGUCUUUAUGAGCAGCGUGAAAAUGGACUGACACGCAGACUCUCUGCAGAGUCCCGAGACGGCACGGAGGAUCACACGGGGAGGGGUCGAGUGUGCUAACUCAGGUCUCUCUUCCUCUUCUAAUAAAUCCACCCGUCCCGCUCCUGCGCUAACCCAUUAAUCCAUUAAUCUGUGAAUGGAUUCAUCUAUUCACGAGGGCACUGCCCUCCUGACCCGAUCACCUCUUAAAGGCCAACUCUCAAUCCUGCCACACUGGGAAUUAAGUUUCAACAUGAGUUUCGGAGGAGAUAAACAUUCAAAUCAUAGCCGAAAUCCAAAGAGAUUUGAGGAGCAGAAGUUGAUUCAAAGGUUAGCAAAGGCCCAUAUUGAUUGUUUCAGAGAAUAAUCAAUCAGAAAGUUAAGCAACGCAUCGCCAGAGCUGUGAGGAACAGACGAAGAAUUUCAAAAAGGCUUUAGGAUGAUAAAGACGCCUGGGCAGCUUUCUAAUGCUGUAUGCAAUGCCGUCCUGCAAACGUGUGUAAGUCAAACACACAAAAGGCAAAACAGCCACUUUCUUUUUUUUCUCUCUCUCUCUUUUUUGAGACAGGGUUUCACCCUUGUGACCCAGGCUGGAGUGCAAUGGCACGAUCUCAGCUCACUGCAACUUGCAACCUCCGCCUCCCGGGUUCAAGCAAGUCUCCUGUCUCAGCCUCCCGAGUAGCUGGGAUUACAGGCACCCGCCACCACGCCAGGCUAAUUUUUGUAUUUUUAGUAGAGACGGGGUUUCACCAUGUUGGCCAGGCUGGUCUCGAACUCCUGACCUCAGGUGAUCCACCCACCUCGGCCUCCCAAAGUGCUGGGAUUACAGGCGUGAGCCACCGCACCCAGCCAAAUCAGCCACUUUCUGUCAUCACCGGGGUUCUGCUCCUAGGGGGCCCAACAGCACCACAAAAGCUCCAAUUAAAGGGGAAAGCCCUUUAGCGACCGUUGUAAGGACAGGUCCCACCCAUUUGCACAUGUUCAUUUUUUUUUCCUUCCCAGUUGGAUCUGCCUGCCGUCAAGACUCACCACUUCCCACCUGUACACUGCUGUCUGUCCUCAUUUCAAGUGAAUCACCUUGCGGUCUUCUUAUGCCAGGUUCAGAGCUCAUGCCAGACGCUGUGGAAGGAUUGUUUUUUGACUCUCUAAUACUGUGGAAGAAAAAGAGAUCUUCCAGAUAUCAGAGUUCUCCUGACAGCUGAAGAAGUGAUGGAUGAGCUGGGGUCUCAAUUCAUCAGAACAUCAAGCUGACACGUGCCAGCCUCCCAACCAUGUCCCACGUUGUGCUGUUGAGAGCUGCUCAGGGCGGCGCUGCUCUAACUGGUGCUUUGGAUGUAUUCUAAGAGCUACAGCUCAGACCAGGAGCCCCGGAGAACAACAGGCCAGUUCAGAAGAUUACAGCAGGACUGAUGGCGUGAAGUCGGGGAGAAGCUGCUGCGGGUUUUCUGUUCAAUUCCCAUCCUGCACUGCCAUCUCCAGGACACAGGAGUCCUCGCCAGGAUGAUCAAAGCGGCAGCCAACUCAGCGGGAAAACGUGCAACAUCACCCUCGUGACCAGGGCUUUUGAUCCGGGAAGGUCGGAGCAGAUUGGGAACAUUUGCUCAUCAUUCCUCUCCCUUUGCUGUGCAGCGGUGAGAAAAUGGGGAAAGGCAGUUGUUCAAAGAACAUCUCCUACGCUAUUAGCUGGUGAGACCAGAGGACCAAGACAGGGAGUGCCCCGGCCCAGCGCUCACACCCCAUGGCAAUGUUCCUAGCCGGCUACAGGGAUCUUGCACAAUACGGAUUCCAAGGCAGUAGCCUGGGGUGGGGCCUGAGAGCAGGCACUUCUAGCAAAUCCCAGAUGCAGCUCAUGGUGCAGGUCUGAGCCAUGGUCAAUCCGUGAGGGGCAAAAUGUGGUGCGAGGGCCAGCAGCAGCAGCGCCUGGAUGAUUUUUUUUUUUUCUUUUUGAGACAGAGUCUCACUCACUCUGUCACCCAGGCUGGAGUGCGGUGUCGCGAUCUCUGCUCACUGCAACCUCAGCCUCCCGGGUUCAAGCGAUUCUCCUGCCUCAGCCUCCCGAGUAGCUGGGAUUACAGGUGCCCGCCCACCACCAUGCCCAGCUAAUUUUGUAUUUUUAGUAGAGAGGGGGUUUCAGCAUGCUGGUCAGGCUGGUCUCCAACUCCUGACCUCUGGUGAUCCGCCUGCCUUGACAAAUGUAUCUAAGUGUCCUUUGGCGUGCAGAUUAUUUUGUCACCACGAGGACACUUUAAAGAUACAUUGGUGGUGCAACGUUCCUGGAGCUGGUAGGAAGACAUUCAUUUCUUUCUUUAUUUGAGUCACGGACACCAGACCCCUGUGACAUGCAAUUUACCUGCAUAAUAAACCUGCACAUGUACCCUUGAACCUAAAAUAGAAGUUUUAAAAAGCAUAAAAAAUAAUAAUAAUAAAAUAUAUUUUUCGACUGUGUAAAAAAAAAAAGUGUCUUUUUGUGGGGGGAAGGUGGCAGGACAGGGUCU
rnacentral:lncRNA from 1 species